AAAAGCUGGAAGCCAUGUGGCUAAAAAGGCAGUCCUUUUACAAGACAAUAAAGAACUGUAAUAGAAGAAAGUCCAAUGGAGUCGAAACAUUAAUUAUAGAAGACUGUUAAUGAGAAAAUAAUGAUGUAAAUGUACAGGUAGAGUUUCGCAAUUGUAUUCCAAAUGGAUUGUAAAUAAAUAAAUAGAGUAUAGACAUUUAUUAUAUGGAUUGUACUUGGAUGUAUUUGAGAAAUAAAUUAUUGGGCCUGAAUCCACAAUUGUGAAUA